GGGGCUGUGGCUCAGUGGUACAGCAUCUGCUUUGUAUGUAGAAGGUCUCAAGUUCAGUCCUUAGCAUCUCUG
rnacentral:tRNA from 1 species